rnacentral:rRNA from 1 species
AUGCGGCAAUUGGCUGCCGCGGCAGAAAACUGGGAGCCCCCUAGGAACAAAAAAAAAUACAGAAAGAUCCUGCCUUUGCCCUUAAUACACCUGAUGGGCAAUGUCAUCACCAGCAUGAGUUUGGUCUCCUUAACGCACCCGAUCGAGGCCAUGGAGUCCAUCUUCCCUAUUCUACUAUCUGUCUUGUUCCUCGGGCAGGUAUUUGGUUUCAGACUUUAUCAAGUGGUCUGUCCUGACAAAUGUAAUGUGAUGAAUACCCAGGGAAUAAUGUACCUAUAUAGGAUUAGGAAUCUUUUUGUAUCAAUGAAAUUGUUGUUCAUGCUCGUAGGUAUAUGUUCUCCUAUCUUGACAAAUGAAAUGAGUGAUUACAAAACUAUUUUUGAUCGAUGA